UGGGGAAUAUUGCACAAUGGGCGCAAGCCUGAUGCAGCCAUGCCGCGUGUGUGAAGAAGGCCUUAGGGUUGUAAAGCACUUUCAGCGAGGAGGAAGGCAUCAUACUUAAUACGUGUGGUGAUUGACGUUACUCGCAGAAGAAGCACCGGCUAACUCCGUGCCAGCAGCCGCGGUAAUACGGAGGGUGCAAGCGUUAAUCGGAAUUACUGGGCGUAAAGCGCACGCAGGCGGUUUGUUAAGUCAGAUGUGAAAUCCCCGCGCUUAACGUGGGAACUGCAUUUGAAACUGGCAAGCUAGAGUCUUGUAGAGGGGGGUAGAAUUCCAGGUGUAGCGGUGAAAUGCGUAGAGAUCUGGAGGAAUACCGGUGGCGAAGGCGGCCCCCUGGACAAAGACUGACGCUCAGGUGCGA
rnacentral:rRNA from 1 species